GAGAAAGUAACGCACGAACUGCUAAUUCUGCAUCCCAUAUAUAAAAAUAUGGCUAUCUCA
rnacentral:tRNA from 1 species